AAACUAUACUUAUUGUAAAAGAUCAUCUAUCAUUAUUGGAAUAUUCUGUUCAACAAUCGGUUUAUUCCCCCUAAAACAAAAGUUUUUUUUGUAAAAAUAACAUCAUAUAUGUAAUUUAUGAGCAGAGUCCAAAAAUGUUGAUUAAGUUAGGUCUUUUCUUUAUUUACAAACACUGCAAGAUAUAGUACCUUUUAUUUGUGUGUGUUGUGUGUGUUUGAGAGAGCCUUCAAAAGUUAGAAUUACCUACACAAGUGAAUAAAUUAUGGAAUGUAAUUGUUAAUAUAUAUAUAUAUAUAUUUUAGAAGUAAUAUAAAAAAAUUACUCCUAUAAUGCCAGUGCUUGGCACUAAAACAAUUUAUAAUAUAAUUGAGGCUUAAAGUUAUACAACAUUGAAGAAUUAUGGCACAUACAAUCAAACAUCAUUCCUGCUGCAAUGCCACUGAAAUACCUGAAAGUGAAUAUUUACGACUUGCUCAAAAAGACCUUCAUGACAAUCCCUUAGCUGCUUUUAGAGCAGAGCAACAAAGAUUGAGAAAAAUAUCAGCAGAGAGAGCUUCAAAAUGGCCAAAUACACUUGCCAAUCUACGAUUAUUGAGAGAAAAAGCAAGACAAGACAGACUGAAGAAAGAAGAAGACGAUCUGAUAAGGAUAGAUCAGGAAAAUGUGGCUAUUCGACAUAAAGAGCGACUUGAAAAGAUUAACAAAGCAAAUUUUCUCCUAGAAAGAGUGCAUGUGAAAUCACUUCAAUCAAAGGCUUGGAUAAAUGAUGUUUUGAAAGUAAUUUCAAUGUUAUGCAAAUUUAUAAGAGCGUGCAGAACAAUGUAAGAUUCAAAAAAUAUGGAAACAAAAGUGGGCCGAUCAAGAUGCUUACUACCAUAAUGAAAUGCUAAAAAAUUUAUCAAAGUAUGAUAAUGAAGAGGAGUUUAAAAAUAAGAAAGCUUAUGAAGCAACCCAAUUGUUAUUAAAAGCCCAAAAUGAACAGCUUGAACAAGUUCACAAGAAGCAAAAAAAGGAGAAAGAAGAAACCAUGAUAGAAAAUGAAAAAAUGAAAAAGAAAAUUGCAGAAAUGAAUGCAAUUGAUGAUGCUGAAAAACAAAGGAAAAAAGACAUGGCCGUGGCAAUGACCAAAGAAAUAGUAGCAUCUAACAAAAAACUAGGAAGUAAAGGAGAUAAAGAAAGAGAGAUGGAUGAAAAGCUUGAAAAAGAAAUUGAAACUUAUACUAGAAAGAAAAAAAUGCAAAGCAUGGAGCUAAAUAAAAUAAAGGACGCCAAAUAUAAAGCAAAAGCAAACCAUGAAAGUGAAAUGUUUGAUAAACUUGACAAGAUUUAUAAAACUCAAACAGCGAAAUUCAAAGAAGAUGAAGAAAAAUAUAGGAAAGCUAAAGAAAAGGCGGAUGAUGAGGCUCUUGCAGCAAAACAAUUAAAGUCCAAAUUAUUAUUAGCAGAAUGUCAUAAAUCACGACAAAUUCAAAUUGAGGCGAGAAAUAAGUUAUUGGAAGAAGAAAGGAAAGAUUUACAAUUUGAAGAUGAACAUGUGUUACAACACAUACAAAAUUGUAUUGAAGAAGAAAAAAAGGCAGAACUUGAUGUAUUGAACAUGAACAAAAGAAAUGCCGAAUUUCUUAUGAAUCAAAUGAAAUAUAAACGAGAAGCAAAAAGAAUUGCCAAAGAAGCAGCUCUACAUGAAGAUAUUGAAGCAUUGAUUCAAUUGAAGGCUGAUGAGGAAUACUUACAAAAUCUUAAAUUUGAGUGAUUUUUUAAAACAUGGAAUUUACUUGGUCAUUAGUGUUUAUUAAAGAAUCAUUUAUUGAUGAGAUAUAUUUUUCUUUUGCAUCCAUUUGUUUUUACUUCAAAUGUUGAAUAUGAAUUUAUAGUUUUUUGUCAACAUUUUUAAUGUCCUUAUUAAUCAAUAAUUCUAAUUUAUAGAUAAAUAGUUCUAAAAUGUUUGACAAUAGAUUAAAUUUGGAUCCACUGCAAUCUACACGUUUUGUAAGAAAAAAUUGGUAAUACUACAUUACAAUUUUUCAGAUACAAUGUCUUUAUACAUAUCUGUAUGGUAAUGUUUUAAUUAUAAUUUACCAUUAAUUUAAAUUU